rnacentral:rRNA from 1 species
GACGAACGCUGGCGGCGUGCCUAAUACAUGCAAGUCGAGCGCAGAAGGUUGGUACUUGUACCUAUUGGGUGAGCCGCGAACGGGUGAGUAACGCGUGGAGAAUCUGCCUUUGAGCGGGGGACCACAUUGGGAAACGAAUGCUAAUACCGCAUAAAAUCUUUAACCACAAGGUUUAAGUUUGAAAGACGCUAUUGCAUUACUCAAUGGUGGUCUCGCGUCGUUUUAGCUAGUUGGUGAGGUUAAGGCUCACCACGGCGAGGACACAUAGCCGACCUGAGAGGGUGGGUCGCCACCUUGGGACGGAGACACGGCCCAAACGCCCUCAGGUAGCAGCAAGAGGGAAACGUCGGGAAUGGGCGAAAGUCAGAGCGAGCAACGCCGAGGGCGUGAAGAACGUUGUCGGGUCCGAAAACUCUGUUUUUAGGGAAGAACGAUGUUGAGAGUGUAAAGCUCAGCAAGUGACGGUAACUACCCAGAAAGCGACGGCUAACUACGUG